rnacentral:rRNA from 1 species
UACGAAGGGGGCUAGCGUUGUUCGGAAUUACUGGGCGUAAAGGGCGCGUAGGCUGUGCUGUAAGUCAGGCGUGAAAUCCCCGGGCUCAACCUGGGAAUUGCGCAUGAUACUGCGGCGCUGGAAUGCGGGAGAGGAUGGCGGAAUUCCCAGUGUAGAGGUGAAAUUCGUAGAUAUUGGGAAGAACACCGGUGGCGAAGGCGGCGCUCUGGACCGAGACUGACGCUGAGGCGCGAAGGCGUGGGGAGCAAACAGG